GGGGAAUCUUGCGCAAUGGGCGAAAGCCUGACGCAGCGACGCCGCGUGAGUGAUGAAGGCCCUCGGGUUGUAAAGCUCUGUGGAGGGGGAAGAAUAAGGGUGACCUAAUACGUCAUCCGAUGACGGUACCCCUUUAGCAAGCACCGGCUAACUCUGUGCCAGCAGCCGCGGUAAGACAGAGGGUGCAAACGUUGUUCGGAAUUACUGGGCGUAAAGCGCGUGUAGGCGGCUUGGCAAGUCGGGUGUGAAAGCCCUGGGCUCAACCUAGGAAGUGCACUCGAAACUGCUUCGCUUGAGUAUCGGAGAGGAAAGCGGAAUUCUCGGUGUAGAGGUGAAAUUCGUAGAUAUCGAGAGGAACACCGGUGGCGAAGGCGGCUUUCUGGACGGUUACUGACGCUGAGACGCGAAAGCGUGGGGAGCAAAC
rnacentral:rRNA from 1 species